rnacentral:sRNA from 1 species
AACGUAGUAAAGUUUUUUCCCCGCAUGUGAUGUGCUUCAUUGUUACGACUUUAUCUUUGCAGUUGUUUACUAUUUUCUUUGUUAAAUGAAGAAGAAGGAGGAAACAGUAAAUGGUCAAAGGUAAAGUCAAAUGGUUUAAUGGCAAAAAAGGUUAUGGCUUUAUCGCCGCUGAAUCCGGCGAAGAUGUGUUUGUCCAUUUCAGCGAAAUCCAACAAGACGGCUAUAAGACGUUAGAAGAAGGCCAGAAUGUUGAAUUCGAAAUUGAAAAGGACGCCAAAGGCCCGAAAGCCAAAAAAGUCGUUAGGGUUUAAACAGAUCAUAACGAAGAAAAUAAAGCCCCCCGCCACACUGUAUGGCGGGGGGCUUUUG